GGUUACUGCUAUCGGUGUUCGCCUAAGCCAUGCGAGUCAUAUGUUCUUCGGAACAUGGCGUACUGCUCAGUAACACGUGGAUAACCUGCCCUUGGGUCCGGCAUAACCCCGGGAAACUGGGAAUAAUUCCGGAUAACGCACAUAUGCUGGAAUGCUUUAUGCGUCAAAUGGAUUCGUCCGCCCAAGGAUGGGUCUGCGGCCUAUCAGGUAGUAGUGGGUGUAAUGUACCUACUAGCCUACGACGGGUACGGGUUGUGAGAGCAAGAGCCCGGAGAUGGAUUCUGAGACAUGAAUCCAGGCCCUACGGGGCGCAGCAGGCGCGAAAACUUUACAAUGCGGGAAACCGUGAUAAGGGGACACCGAGUGCCAGCAUCAUAUGCUGGCUGUCCGGGUGUGUAAAAUACACCUGUUAGCAAGGGCCGGGCAAGACCGGUGCCAGCCGCCGCGGUAACACCGGCGGCCCGAGUGGUGAUCGUAAUUAUUGGGUCUAAAGGGUCCGUAGCCGGUUUGGUCAGUCCUCCGGGAAAUCUGACGGCUUAACCGUUAGGCUUUCGGGGGAUACUGCCAGACUUGGAACCGGGAGAGGUAAGAGGUACUACAGGGGUAGGAGUGAAAUCUUGUAAUCCCUGUGGGACCACCUGUGGCGAAGGCGUCUUACCAGAACGGGUUCGACGGUGAGGGACGAAAGCUGGGGGCACGAACCGGAUUAGAUACCCGGGUAGUCCCAGCCGUAAACGAUGCUCGCUAGGUGUCAGGCAUGGCGCGACCGUGUCUGGUGCCGCAGGGAAGCCGUGAAGCGAGCCACCUGGGAAGUACGGCCGCAAGGCUGAAACUUAA
rnacentral:rRNA from 1 species